CAGCCGGUGAGGAUUCAAGGUGGAAGCUGCCUGGCAAGGGGGUCUCCUGAAUGGCCUUUCUCCUCUUUGGAGGUGCCCACAACCCUCUGUGAACCUCUACACCUCAUCAAGGGACCAACUUCACCAGGGUACCAGCAUUCCUGCUGUCCCCAACCCAGGAAUGGAAUGCUGCCUUCAUCUAGGGGUCACCAACCCAGCAUCUCCCUCGAGUCUCUCCCAGGACCCUGGCUCCUCAGCUCGUCUCCCUCAGCUGCCAGGUGUGUCCACCUGGGGUCAGGGGCUGCAUAGCUUUCACGCUGGAUGUCAGACGAUUAUUGUCAAGAAACUGGAUGGUUGGGUCGAGGAUUUAGCUCCGUGGUUCCACCGCCUGCCUCACAAGCUAAGGACCCAAGUUUGAUCCCUGGUACCAAAAAAAAAAAAAAAAGAAAGAAAAAAGAAACUAGAUGGUUAACUGUGGAUCCAGAUAGUCAUUUGUCUUUAUCCCUAAUGAUGAGAAAUGAUUCCCUCCAACUUUCCAGUGAAACAAGUACACCGGGAUUUCAUUUUCCCUUUCUAUUGCUGAAACAUUAGACGGACACAUGCAUGUUAUUAAAAAUUACGUUCAAAACACUUAAAAUAGUUCUGUAUUAGAAACUUGACUCUGUCAUAAGUCUGUUUUUGGGAGUCAUUCGGGGCUGGUUAAAUGCUCCAAUUCCACUGUUAUUAACAUUUAGGAAGCAGAAUAUUCCAGCUAGUUCAAACUAGAGAUUUAGUUACUUCAACACUGACUUCUGCUUGGUUGUGUAGGUUCUGUGAGGUCUACUCCUCUUCCUCUAGCAGAAUUUGCUCCUGGAUUCUGUGGCUCAUUCUUUGGCAACUUUUUAGCUAUUGCCAUGAAUACUUCAUUUACAUUCAAUGAUGUUUUAGGUGAUGUUUCCAAGAAUAAUAAACUAUUGUCAUCUGCAUAGGACUGGGCUUCCUGGAAAUCUACAGCUCUUUUAUUUGCUAGAUCAGCCUUGUUUCCUGAAAAGGCCAUUACAAUGUUAGGACUUGCUUGCUUCUGAAGUUCUUUAAACCAGUUUUUUGCUCUUGCAAAAGAUUCCUCAUUUGUGAUAUCGUAUACAACUAUGGCUGCUUGUGCUCCUCUGUAGUACAUUGGUGCUAGGGUAUGGUAUCAUUUUGACCAGCUGUAUCCCAUAUUUCAAACUUUACUGUUGUGUCAUCAAGACGCACAGCCUGGGUUAGAAAAGCAGCCACAGUGGUAUUUUCUUGACAUUCAUGAAACUGGCCUUUCACAAAACGAAGCACUAGGCUUGAUUUGCCAACAGCAGACUCUCCCAGAAGUACUAGUUUGAACUGACGUAUUUUAUUUCCAGUAUUUGGCCCGUUAGGUCUUGUUGCUCCACGACAUGUCCAAAUUUGAAAGUAGUCCCUAAUUUCGGACUCCUAAAUGAACUUUCAGGAUGCAAGGAGUGGAUUUUUUUCUGUCUAGAAGUAUAGCGACCUGAGCGCUCAGCGGGGCAGCUUCUAGGCAGCAAAGCCCAGGUGAGAUCAGAAGAAAGAAUGACCUGUAGCUGCGGCUGCUCUCCACCUCGAGCCGAGCCGCUCCCCUCACACUGCACUGUGAGGGCCCCGAGCCCCUGUCAGGCUCCGUCUCCGCCUCUCUCCGUCUGCUCCCUCUCC
rnacentral:lncRNA from 1 species